rnacentral:lncRNA from 1 species
AAUUUGAUUAAAUAUAUUAUUAGGAGUUUAUAUUAGCCACCUGUUCUUGUUUUUUCUUUCUUGCACAUGCAUUAUUCAUUUUGUAUGCCUGCAUUCUACAUGCCUGAAAUUUUGCUGCUUUGGUGCAGGAAAGAUGGGUGCUCUUUUGUAUUUUUUGGGAAGUUUCUUGGGAUAUGAUUUUUGGUCAUGGGGAAGGUAAUUUGACCAUGUUAUUAUUAUUUGCUUAAAAGUUUUUGUGCAUGAUUAUUUCUUUGAAUUCCAAUGCAAACUCUUUCACAUCUCCUAAAUUACAACUUGCUAUUUUAACUCCCAUUUCUUUCUUUCUUUCUAUCGUUUGUUUUUCCUCCUGCCUUUCUCCAUGAAAAAAUUUCUAGUAAUCCCUCUGUCUCAAAUUAUCUAUAUUAAUUUUUAAAAAUAGUUAUCUCAAAUUAUUUAUUAUUUUAAAAAUUUAAGAGUAAUUUCUUUUCCUAUUCUACAUUUAAUAAUAAUUAUUCUUAAAGGCUACAAAUACUUUAAUUAUAAGUAAGUUUGAAAUGAAAAUAGAUUAUAUAUCUUAAGAUAUAAUUAAGGGUAAAAUAAUCAAAAACUUUUUCAAUCUAAUAUCUUCUUAAAAAGCAUGUAAAAGAAUGCUACAGAUAAUUUGAUACACACGGAGUAUCAAACAAUCAAUUUAGAUUCGGAAUUUGAAUAUGUGGGUUCGAAUCAGGGGCGGAUCCACCCCUUUAGGAAGGGGUGGCAUGCACCCGUUGAGAUGAUAAAAUUUUCACAUAUUUAUAUUAAAAUUUUCUUAAACUAGGUUAAAUAUAUGAUCCUCCCACCCGCAAUCGUAAACAAGAUAAAGGUGUCAUCGCUGGUAAAUAUUUUUGGUAAGUUUUUCUCGUGCGUAAAAUUCAAGCUGGAAUUUAAUUUGAACCUUAUCGGACUUUCCCUUUUCUUUGUAUUUUUUAUUUUUUUUACCCCAAUGAUUCUCCUUUCGGCUAUCUCUCCAUUUUCAAUUUGUCGUUUUAUUAGUUUUGUAUAUUUUUUUCUCUCUCCAUUCUAUAUUAUUUUAACUUAUGAAAUUUCUUUCAAAAUGCUAACCUUGGCAAUAGGCUCCAAAAUGCUCCCAGAUCAUCCAAACUAGGUCCGGGCAUACACCCUAGUCUGAACGUUCCCGGGUCAUCCAAAAUCUGGUCUGAGCAUACACCCUAGUCCGAAAUCAUCAUACGAACCUGCUGUAACCUUUGAAUCACUAUUCCGAGGUCUUUUACUCAAAAAUUUCAAUCCUACUUAAUUUUUUCAACUUAAAGCUUCCGAAAUGAGAAUUCUCUUUCCAAAUCAACUCCGAACUUCUCGAAAUUCAAUUCCGACAAUGCAUACAAGUCAUACUACCUUAAAUGAAGCUGUUCGUGGCAUCAAACUGCUGAAUGGCACUUUAUAGUUCAAAACGACCUGUCGAAUCAUUACAGAUAUUCGAGAUGUUAUCUUUAUAUUUAUAAAAUAAU